CGCUGGCGGUGCGCCUUAUGCAUGCAAGUCGAGCGAAGCUUUUCAGUAGUUUACUACAGAAAAUGACUGAGCGGCGAACGGGUGAGUAACGCGUGAGCAAUCUACCUUAGUUACUGGGAUAGCCCGAGGAAACUCGGAUUAAUACCGGAUAAUCUUAUUACAUCACAUGAUAUUUUAAGUAAAGGUCAGCCGAACUAAGAUGAGCUCGCGUUCUAUCAGCUUGUUGGUGGGGUAAAAGCCUACCAAGGCUACGACGGAUAGCUGGUCUGAGAGGACGAUCAGCCACACUGGGACUGAGACACGGCCCAGACUCCUACGGGAGGCUGCAGCAGGGAAUAUUGCGCAAUGAGCGAAAGCUUGACGCAGCGACACCGCGUGUGGGAUGACGGUUCUAGGAUUGUAAACCACUUUCAGGAGGGAAGAAAAUGACGGUACCUCCACAAGAAGCCCCGGCCAACUACGUGCCAGCAGCCGCGGUAAUACGUAGGGGGCGAGCGUUGUCCGGAUUUAUUGGGCGUAAAGAGCUCGUAGGCGGUUCAACAAGUCGGUCGUGAAAGUUCAGGGCUUAACCCUGAAAUGUCGAUCGAUACUGUUGUGACUAGGAUAUGGUAGAGGUGAGUGGAAUUCCGAGUGUAGCGGUGAAAUGCGUAGAUAUUCGGAGGAACACCAAUAGCGAAGGCAGCUCACUGGACCACUAUCGACGCUGAGGAGCGAAAGCUAGGGGAGCAAACAGGAUUAGAUACCCUGGUAGUCCUAGCUGUAAACGAUGGAUACUAGAUGUAGGAAUUGGAUUGACGAUUUCUGUAUCGUAGCUAACGCGUUAAGUAUCCCGCC
rnacentral:rRNA from 1 species